rnacentral:rRNA from 1 species
UUCGAUUAGAGUUUGAUCAUGGCUCAGAUUGAACGCUGGCGGCAUGCCUUACACAUGCAAGUCGAACGGCAGCAUGAUCUAGCUUGCUAGAUUGAUGGCGAGUGGCGAACGGGUGAGUAAUACAUCGGAACGUGCCCUGUAGUGGGGGAUAACUAGUCGAAAGAUUAGCUAAUACCGCAUACGACCUGAGGGUGAAAGUGGGGGACCGCAAGGCCUCAUGCUAUAGGAGCGGCCGAUGUCUGAUUAGCUAGUUGGUGGGGUAAAGGCCCACCAAGGCGACGAUCAGUAGCUGGUCUGAGAGGACGAUCAGCCACACUGGGACUGAGACACGGCCCAGACUCCUACGGGAGGCAGCAGUGGGGAAUUUUGGACAAUGGGGGCAACCCUGAUCCAGCAAUGCCGCGUGUGUGAAGAAGGCCUUCGGGUUGUAAAGCACUUUUGUCCGGAAAGAAAUCGCACUUACUAAUAUUAGGUGUGGAUGACGGUACCGGAAGAAUAAGGACCGGCUAACUACGUGCCAGCAGCCGCGGUAAUACGUAGGGUCCAAGCGUUAAUCGGAAUUACUGGGCGUAAAGCGUGCGCAGGCGGUUGUGCAAGACCGAUGUGAAAUCCCCGGGCUUAACCUGGGAAUUGCAUUGGUGACUGCACGGCUAGAGUGUGUCAGAGGGGGGUAGAAUUCCACGUGUAGCAGUGAAAUGCGUAGAGAUGUGGAGGAAUACCGAUGGCGAAGGCAGCCCCCUGGGAUAACACUGACGCUCAUGCACGAAAGCGUGGGGAGCAAACAGGAUUAGAUACCCUGGUAGUCCACGCCCUAAACGAUGUCAACUAGUUGUUGGGGAUUCAUUUCCUUAGUAACGUAGCUAACGCGUGAAGUUGACCGCCUGGGGAGUACGGUCGCAAGAUUAAAACUCAAAGGAAUUGACGGGGACCCGCACAAGCGGUGGAUGAUGUGGAUUAAUUCGAUGCAACGCGAAAAACCUUACCUACCCUUGACAUGCCACUAACGAAGCAGAGAUGCAUUAGGUGCUCGAAAGAGAAAGUGGACACAGGUGCUGCAUGGCUGUCGUCAGCUCGUGUCGUGAGAUGUUGGGUUAAGUCCCGCAACGAGCGCAACCCUUGUCUCUAGUUGCUACGAAAGGGCACUCUAGAGAGACUGCCGGUGACAAACCGGAGGAAGGUGGGGAUGACGUCAAGUCCUCAUGGCCCUUAUGGGUAGGGCUUCACACGUCAUACAAUGGUGCAUACAGAGGGUUGCCAAGCCGCGAGGUGGAGCUAAUCCCAGAAAAUGCAUCGUAGUCCGGAUCGUAGUCUGCAACUCGACUACGUGAAGCUGGAAUCGCUAGUAAUCGCGGAUCAGCAUGCCGCGGUGAAUACGUUCCGCGGGUCUUGUAGACACCGCCC